GGCCUGUUAGCUCAGUGGGUAGAGCAUCGCGCUUUCAUUGCGAAGGUCGCGGGUUCGAUUCCCGUCACAGGCCG
rnacentral:tRNA from 1 species